rnacentral:rRNA from 1 species
GCAAGUCUACUUGAACGCUCUUCGGAGUUAUUAGGGUGGCGGACGGGUGAGUACCACGUAAAGAACUUGCCCCUUAGACUGGGACAACAGUUGGAAACGACUGCUAAUACUGGAUAUUAUGAGAUUCUCGCAUGAGAGACUUAUGAAAGCUAUAUGCGCUAGGGGAGAGCUUUGCGGCCUAUUAGCUAGUUGGUAGUGUAAUGGACUACCAAGGCGACGAUAGGUAGCCGGCCUGAGAGGGUGAAC